AUUGAACGCUGGCGGCCGGCCUAACACAUGCAAGUCGCACGAGUGGCGGACGGGUGAGUAAUGUCUGGGAAACUGCCUGAUGGCGGGGGAUAACUACUGGAAACGGUAGCUAAUACAGCAUACCAUCGGAUGUGCGCAAAGGGGAUUAGCGAGUAGGUGGGGUAAAUGCUAACCUAGGCGACGAUCCCUAGCUGGUCUGAGAGGAUGACCAGCCACAUUGGAACUGAGAGCAGGUCCAGACUCCUGCGGGAGGAAGCAGUAGGGAAGAGUGCAUAAUGGGCGGAAGCAUGAUGCAGCCAGGCCGCGUGUAUGAAGAAGUCCUUGUGGUUGGAAAGUACUUUCAGCGUGGAGGCGUUACCCGCAGGAGAAGCACCGGCUAACGCCAGGCCAGCAGCCGCGGUAAUAC
rnacentral:rRNA from 1 species